AAUCUUGCGCAAUGGGCGAAAGCGUGUCGUAGCCAUGCCGCGAGAAUGAGGAAGGUCUUAGGAUUGUAAAAUUCUUUCACCGGGGACGAUAAUGACGGUACCCGGAGAAGAAGCCCCGGCUAACUUCGUGCCAGCAGCUGCGGUAAUACGAAGGGGGCUAGCGUUGCUCGGAAUUACUGGGCGUAAAGGGCGCGUAGGAGGAUCGUUAAGUCAGGGGUGAAAUCCCGGGGCUCAACCUCGGAACUGCCCUUGAUACUGGCGAUCUUGAGUAUGAGCGAGGUAUGUGGAACUCCGAGUGUAGAGGUGAAAUUCGUAGAUAUUCGGAAGAACACCAGUGGCGAAGGCGACAUACUGGCUCAUUACUGACGCUGAGGCGCGAAAGCGUGGGGAGCAAACA
rnacentral:rRNA from 1 species